UGGGCGUAAGGGCUCGCAGGCGGUUUCUUAAGUCUGAUGUGAAAGCCCCCGGCUCUACCGGGGAGGGUCAUUGGAAACUGGGAAACUUGAGUGCCCUAGAGGAGAGUGGAAUUCCACGUGUAGCGGUGAAAUGCGUAGAGAUGUGGAGGAACACCAGUGGCGAAGGCGACUCUCUGGUCUGUAACUGACGCUGAGGAGCGAAAGCGUGGGGAGCGAACAGGAUUAGAUACCCUGGUAGUCCACGCCGUAAACGAUGAGUGCUAAGUGUUAGGGGGUUUCCGCCCCUUAGUGCUGCAGCUAACGCAUUAAGCACUCCGCCUGGGGAGUACGGUCGCAAGACUGAAACUCAGAGGAAUUGACGGGGGCCCGCACCAGCGGAGGAGCAUGUGGUUUUAUUCAAAAA
rnacentral:rRNA from 1 species